GAAAUGCGAUAAGUAGUGUGAAUUGCAGAAUUCAGUGAAUCAUCGAAUUUUUGAACGCACAUUGCGCCCCUCGGUAUCCCGGGGGGCAUGCCUAUUCGAGCGUCAUUUCAACUUCUCAAGCUUUGCUUGGUAUUGGGCAUCAUUAUUUUUUUUAACUAAAAGUAAUGGGCUUUAAAAAUAAGCAGCGGCGAGUACUAGUUCCGAGCAUAGCAGUAGAACAUUUUGCUUUAGGAGAUUCAGUAUAUUGUCAGCUAAAUAAUUAGUCUUACUAUUAUUUGACCUCGGAUUAGGUAGGGAUACCCGCUGAACUUAA
rnacentral:misc_RNA from 1 species